rnacentral:rRNA from 1 species
AUUGAACGCUGGCGGCAGGCCUAACACAUGCAAGUCGAGCGGAUGAAGGGAGCUUGCUUCUGGAUUCAGCGGCGGACGGGUGAGUAAUGCCUAGGAAUCUGCCUGGUAGUGGGGGAUAACGUCCGGAAACGGGCGCUAAUACCGCAUACGUCCUGCGGGAGCAAGUGGGGGGUCUUCGGACCUCAUGCUCUCAGAUGAGCCUAGGUCGGAUUAGCUAGUUGGUGGGGUAAAGGCCUACCAAGGCGACGAUCCGUAACUGGUCUGAGAGGAUGAUCAGUCACACUGGAACUGAGACACGGUCCAGGCUCCUACGAGAGGCAGCAGUGGGGAAUAGUGGACAAUGGGCGAAAGCCUGAUCCAGCCAUGCCGCGUGUGUGAAGAAGGUCUUCGGAUUGGAAAGCACUUUAAGUUGGGAGGAAGGGCAGUAAGUUAAUACCUUGCUGUUUUGACGUUACCAACAGAAUAAGCACCGGCUAACUUCGUG